CCGCGGGUGCAUGGCAGGGGUGACUGAGGGAACCUGUCAGGAGUGGGGGAGUGGGAGAGGCCGUGCUCGGGCCGCACCGGCUGCAGCAGACCCAGAGCCGCCUCUGGCCCUGGCACUUCCGGCCGCGAGCUCAGAGAGGCUUUUAUUUUAGAUUCCAAUGCCACAGGAUAUCCCAUUGGCUGGAUGGAUGCAGCUGGAUCGAUUCUGACACCAGGAUUGACAUCCCUUCAGCUGGAUCAAUACUAAAACCAGAUCAGAGUUAUCAAAUCAGAUUCUGAUCUCACCCAGUCACAGAUGCCCAGGAACAUUCCACACUCUGUAAGCUUUGGUGACCAUUACCUCAAAUUUUGUCUGCUUCUUCUCUUCAGCAUCCCAUGCCAGCCAGCUGCUCCAGAGUGGGAUGCUGUCUGCUUCUUAAAAGAAACACAUCUCAGAGUGUGAUCUUGACCUGGGGUAAUUUUCUAAUUUUUUGCAGCCAAAAUCUGUACCCCUUCCUGCAUGCUGCAUGUCCCUGGUGCAAAAUCCACACUGUUCCUAGACAAGGGACCACUUUUACCUGUCACAUACCAUCACUUUCCCCAUCCCUCCACCCCACUCCCUGUAGCUGUUCCUUACCCUUGCCAUAGACAGGGAAUUCCCUGGUCCUCCCUGUCGUUGUGCCUUCUCACAGCACAGCCAUCAUCUGAGCUAAAAAAAAAACAACCCAAGCAAUUUCAGGCAAUCUGGGUCGUACCGUGUUAAGAGAAUUUGAUUCUUUGGUUCAUGCAGAAGGACUGCUGAUGGCUCACAGACAUUUCUUUUGUACAAAAUUCCCAGUUCUCUAUCUGGAAUUUCUAACACAGCCCUGUUCCACUUGUGCAACCCUUCUGCUCUGGUCUCUUUAUUCAGGCAGCCUUAUCCUAUUUAGAGAAAUCCUGAAAGUAGGAUACGUACAAGAAGGGCAUCAAACUGUGUGAAUGUGUCCAAAGGAGGGCCACUAUGAAGCCGAAAAACCUCGAGGGCCAAAUUUACAAGGAAGGGCUGAGGUAAAUUUGCUUGUUCAGCCUGGAGAAGAGCAGGUGAGGGGUGACCCCAUUGCUUCCUCAUGGGGGCCAGCAGCUGGGGAAGUUCAGGUUGACAUUAGGAAAAGGUUCUUCACUGAGUGUGGUGGGGCACUGCAAGGACUUAAAGAGCAUAAUCACCUGUCUCAAAUGCUUCUGCUACAGAAGGACUUUGCUGAGAGAUAAGCACAGAUGGGAGCAACAGGAUGGCUCUAACUCUAAGCCUGGCAUAGCUGAGAUCUGGCUAGCACAUCCUGGGUAAUGGAUGCAGACAAAAAUUCCCACUGUGGCAAUCUGUGUAAAGAAGCAACUGCUAAUAGGGUCGAAGUUCCCCACAAAUUACAGAACAGAUUGUACCUGUGACCACUGAAGCCCCCACCACCAAAUAUGCCUACAUACAUACCUGAAACCUGGACUGUAAAUUAGGCCACUGUGGAGGGAACUUGACAUAAGGUAAAGGUGUUACUGUUGUCUCAGUGUUAUCUCAGGCCUAGGGAGAGCUAAACAGACCUGGGAGAGAAGAACAUGUCACUAAUAAUGGACAUAAAGAAUGAAGCCACAAGAAAAGCCAACUCAGCAACUGUGCUGAAAUCAGCUCUGAAUGGGUGAAAGGUAAUUCUGCCAGGGGAGAUUGUGACUACAAUUCAAAACCCACUGACUUGAAAGAAGAGAGACUGAGCAUGGAACUAAUUAGCAUGAGAGGAGAUGGAAUCAUUUUACCAAUAGAAUAAGAGAACUGUGUGACUAGUUCUGAGAGACUGGAAUGUUAAUGGAUAAUGACUCAAACAAUCUGCCAUUUGCAGUAACCGCCCAGGUGCAGAGGAGAUGCACACCCAUCACCCAUCACUCAAGGCAACAGCUGAGUGUUGAACAAGGGAAGAAGCUGCUAAGAGGCAAAUCCUGUGAGGUGGAAUAGUGCAUUUCAUCAUGCCAGUGUCCAUACACAAGUGGCUCAGCUGUGAAGCCUCCCCUCUGGGAGAGUAGGACAUUCACCGUAGGUCUGAUGGUGUUAAUUUCUGCUGAUGGGCUAUAAUUGACACAACUGAUACUAUACCGGUGUAAGAGCAGCUGUAAAGUCUCAGAAAUUGUCAAAAACAGUCUAAGAUUCCAAAAGUAUCCCUUGAUCCACAGCAUUACAUCACCCAUUGUAAAACUCACCAUGCCAGGGCAGGUACUUGGGCAUUCUCACAAGCCUGAGCCUAUAUUAACCCACCAGAUUUUGUGUUCCAGGGGCUUCCUCCACCCCAAAUGGAUCAAGAUUGCAACCAUCACUUUGACAAGACUGUAACCAACACGUUGACCAAUGGACAUAAAAAUUGCAAGAAUCAAAUCUUGCCACAGAAUCCACAGGCGGUGACCAUGUACCUGUCUACACUUACCCUUUCUUUCUCUUUCUUUUCUUUACCUUAUACAUUUUCUUAAAUGUUAUUUUUAUACUUCCAUAUUGCAGCAUUUCUAACGAAAAUGGCUACAUUUUAAAAUUUGCCAAGGACCUUAUUUUACCAUAAUGUUCUAAAGUUUGCAAGUAAAAGUUUGUUAUUGAACCUCAGGAGGAUUUUGUUGUUUCUCCUGCACACUGCCCAGAGUACACCCCUAAACACACCAAACAACACACCCAUAAACCCGCCAAGCAGUCUGGGGCAUAACACCAAUGAGCACUAAUUAAUUAAUUACUUACUUAAUUUUUUUGUUUGCUAAAAUGUGUGGGUGGUGAAAAGUCUUGAACAACCUCAGGACUCCCACUGCUGAGAAGCCCAGGAUGAUUAAGGACAAACAGGAUGCCACUGGAUCCUUGACUGUCUUCUGCUUGAUCUG